rnacentral:tRNA from 1 species
AGGGGUGUAGCUCAGCCCGGUUAGAGCGACGGUCUCCAAAACCGUAGGUCGCGGGUUCGAAUCCUGCCGCCCCUGC